GUGUCAGCCGCCGCGGUAAUACGGAGGGGGUUAGCGUUGUUCGGAAUUACUGGGCGUAAAGCGCACGUAGGCGGAUCAGAAAGUUGGGGGUGAAAUCCCGGGGCUCAACCCCGGAACUGCCUCCAAAACUUCUGGUCUGGAGUUCGAGAGAGGUGAGUGGAAUUCCGAGUGUAGAGGUGAAAUUCGUAGAUAUUCGGAGGAACACCAGUGGCGAAGGCGGCUCACUGGCUCGAUACUGACGCUGAGGUGCGAAAGUGUGGGGAGCAAACAGGAUUAGAUACCCUGGUAGUCCACACCGUAAACGAUGAAUGCCAGACGUCGGGCAGCAUGCUGUUCGGUGUCACACCUAACGGAUUAAGCAUUCCGCCUGGGGAGUACGGCCGCAAGGUUAAAACUUAAAUGAAUUGACGGGG
rnacentral:rRNA from 1 species